rnacentral:rRNA from 1 species
CGCGGCCUAUCAGCUUGUUGGUGAGGUAAUGGCUCACCAAGGCGACGACGGGUAGCCGGCCUGAGAGGGCGACCGGCCACACUGGGACUGAGACACGGCCCAGACUCCUACGGGAGGCAGCAGUGGGGAAUAUUGCACAAUGGGCGAAAGCCUGAUGCAGCGACGCCGCGUGAGGGAUGACGGCCUUCGGGUUGUAAACCUCUUUCAGCAGGGAAGAAGCGAAAGUGACGGUACCUGCAGAAGAAGCGCCGGCUAACUACGUGCCAGCAGCCGCGGUAAUACGUAGGGCGCAAGCGUUGUCCGGAAUUAUUGGGCGUAAAGAGCUCGUAGGCGGCUUGUCACGUCGGGUGUGAAAGCCCGGGGCUUAACCCCGGGUCUGCAUUCGAUACGGGCUAGCUAGAGUGUGGUAGGGGAGAUCGGAAUUCCUGGCGUAGCGGUGAAAUGCGCAGAUAUCAGGAGGAACACCGGUGGCGAAGGCGGAUCUCUGGGCCAUUACUGACGCUGAGGAGCGAAAGCGUGGGGAGUGAACAGGAUUAGAUACCCUGGUAGUCCACGCCGUAAACGGUGGGAACUAGGUGUUGGCGACAUUCCACGUCGUCGGUGCCGCAGCUAACGCAUUAAGUUCCCCGCCUGGGGAGUACG